rnacentral:tRNA from 1 species
GGGAAUAUAGUGUAGCGGUAAACACGCCUGGCUGUCUACCAGGUAGCACGGGUUCAAAUCCCGUUAUUCUCGC